AUUGAACGCUGGCGGCAUGCCUUACACAUGCAAGUCGAACGGCAGCACGGGUGCUUGCACCUGGUGGCGAGUGGCGAACGGGUGAGUAAUAUAUCGGAACGUACCUUAUUGUGGGGGAUAACGCAGCGAAAGCUGUGCUAAUACCGCAUAAUCCCUAAGGGGGAAAGCGGGGGACCGUAAGGCCUCGCGCAAUUAGAGCGGCCGAUACCUGAUUAGCUAGUUGGUGAGGUAAAGGCUCACCAAGGCAACGAUCAGUAGCUGGUCUGAGAGGACGAGCAGCCACACUGGGACUGAGACACGGCCCAGACUCCUACGGGAGGCAGCAGUGGGGAAUUUUGGACGAUGGGGGCAACCCUGAUCCAGCAAUGCCGCGUGAGUGAAGAAGGCCUUCGGGUUGUAAAGCUCUUUUGUCAGGGAAGAAACAGCAGCUCUAACACAGUUUGCGAAUGACGGUACCUGAAGAAUAAGCACCGGCUAACUACGUGCCAGCAGCCGCGGUAA
rnacentral:rRNA from 1 species